AAGAGAAGGAAGAAGAUUAUUGCAUCUAAAAAGUGGCGAUCAACUUUGCUUCUUAAGACGCCCCUAAUAUCAGCGUGAUGGAUUCAUUCUCCUAAACAGUUGGAAAAGUGUGCAGAUCUUCAAAGAUUCAAGCCAUUUGGUGCGAGCUUGGGCGGCGUCCAAGAAUAAAAAUUGUUAGGUAUACUGGGGUGUUAUUCUUGAGAAGCUGAAGUUGUGCUCGACUUCAGCUGGUUUUUUGUCAUGCAGAUCGAGACUUUGAGUUGCAGAGGUGGAGGAUAUUAUUUUUAAAGAAAAGAGCAAUUUGUUGUGAAUAUGAAAUCAUGAUGCAGUCAGUGUAUCGGUCUUCAAGUGAGAUAUUUGUUGCGAAUAUGGAAACCAGAUCACUGAUCAAUUUGACAUUUUGUCAUGUUUGACAGCAAAUUGAAUUUGAUACUCAAAAUUAA